rnacentral:rRNA from 1 species
GGUUACCUUGUUACGACUUCACCCCAGUCGCUGACUAUACCGUGGUCAAGGGUUUUAAGCCUUGCCUUAAGGUAGAACCAACUCCCAUGGUGUGACGGGCGGUGUGUACAAGACCCGGGAACGCAUUCACCGUGGCACGCUGAUCCACGAUUACUAGUAAUUCCAGCUUCAUGCACUCGAGUUGCAGAGUGCAAUCCGAACUGAGGUAUUUUUUAAGGAUUUGCUAAACGUCGCCGUCUUGCUUCCUGUUGUAAAUACCAUUGUAGCACGUGUGUAGCCCAACACGUAAGGGCCAUGAGGACUUGACGUCAUCCCCACCUUCCUCCAGCUUAUCACUGGCAGUUCUUUCAGAGUGCCCAACUAAAUGAUGGCAACUAAAAUUAGGGUU